UACGUAGGGGGCAAGCGUUGUCCGGAUUUACUGGGUGUAAAGGGCGCGCAGGCGGACUUGCAAGUCAGGGGUGAAAUCCUGCAGCUUAACUGCAGAACUGCCUUUGAUACUGCAAGUCUUGAGUAUGGAAGAGAGAAGCGGAAUUCCAGGUGUAGUGGUGAAAUACGUAGAUAUCUGGAAGAACACCAGUUGCGAAGGCGGCUUCUUGGUCCAUUACUGACGCUCAGGCGCGAAAGCGUGGGUAGCAAAC
rnacentral:rRNA from 1 species